UGGGGAAUAUUGCACAAUGGGGGAAACCCUGAUGCAGCAACGCCGCGUGAGUGAUGACGGUCUUCGGAUUGUAAAGCUCUGUCUUCAGGGACGAUAAUGACGGUACCGGAGGAGGAAGCCACGGCUAACUACGUGCCGGCAGCCGCGGUAAUACGUAGGGGGCGAGCGUUGUCAGGAAUGACUGGGCGUAAAGGGCGCGUAGGCGGCUGUCUAAGUCUGGAGUGAAAGUCCUGUUUUCAAGGUGGGAAUUGCUUUGGAGACUGGAUGGCUUGAGUGCGGAAGAGGUAAGUGGAAUUCCCAGUGUAGCGGUGAAAUGCGUAGAGAUUGGGAGGAACACCAGUGGCGAAGGCGACUUACUGGGCCGUAACUGACGUUGAAGCGCGAAAGCGUGGGGAGCGAACAGG
rnacentral:rRNA from 1 species